UGGCAAGAAGUGAUUAUUUACACUCGGUUUCGGCCCGAUUCUUGGCUAAAUUUAGCCCUUGCUAU
rnacentral:tRNA from 2 species